rnacentral:rRNA from 1 species
UUUGAAGAAAAGGAGUUAUGAUCUUCAAAACUCAAAGAAUUUGGCGGCUAAUUAUAUUUAGGGGAACCUGUAUUAUAAUCGAUAAACCACGUUAAUUUAUACUUUUAUUUUAUUUGUAUACCUCUAUAUUUAAUAUUUUUUAAGAAUUUUUAUUUUAGUUUAUUCGUUGAAUUUAGGUCAAGGUGCAGUUUUAUAUAAGUAAAUAUGGGUUAUUUUUAUUAAAAUUUUAUAUAAUAAUUUAAUUUUAUAAAUUUAAUUUUAGAAUUUAAAAGUAAUUUUAAUUAAUUAAUUAAUAUGAAUAUA